UUUUCUCAAAGGUUUUGACUCCUGGGAUGGUGUUCUUAAUUCCCAGAGCACUGAUUCACUUCCAGCUAAAUGUUGGAAAGGGGCCGGCCACCUUUAUACCUAUUUUCAAUACUCAAAAUCCUGGCGUUUCGGACUCACUCACUACUCUUUUUGAUACAACACCCCCAAUUCCCAAUGAAGUGCUGACCAAAUCGUUUCGAGUAAGUGAUGAUGUGAUAAAUGCCAUCAGAAAAGCCCGGGCAUCAAACUAGUAAUCGAUCCGGCUAGGUUAACAUCCUGGAUGCUUGAUCAAUAUGCUUUAGUGUGCCAACAUAUAUAUACUAAUAAAUGGGAUUUAUUUUAUGUUACAAUUAUUGAUUAAAGAAUAAAGUCGAGACGACCAAUAGUUAUUGAAUAAGGAAAGUGUGAUUUUUUUUUCUCAUUUCUUCUUCUUUUACUUUUUUAUUUUUCCAUGGCAUUAUCUGAGCAAUUUGUUGCUUCCAUCGGCCUCGUUCAUUGGUAUUUCCUUGUAGGCUUCAAAUAAUCUUUUAUAAUCCGAAAUUUCAUUCCUGUAAUUUCAGCCUCUCAAUAUCCAUUAAUGGUACCCGUGCAAUAAUUAUUGAAUAAAAAAUGUCUAAUACUUAUUAAUUUUUUUGUCUUGUUAAUUUUUUUUCAUGGGUCAUUCUAUUUGAUACCGCGAUAAAAUAAUUCGAUAAAUAUGUCAAAAAUAAAAUUACCAGUUAAAUAGAAAACAUACUGAAAUCAAACCCGUUCAUUGCUUUAUUAUUUUUUUGUUCUCCCUAUUCAACCGAACCAAUUGAAAGUGAUAGUGACGAUUACGUGGAAUAUUUGGGGGGCACGAAAUAAGCUAUUAUUCAGAAGGCAAUUUAGUUCACCACAAGCCAUCUAUGCACGGGCUCAAAGAAUUUUCGAAUCUUUUGGGAGUUGUGGUGUGGCUAUUCUUGAUUCUAAUUUGAGUAGUGUCGUGUGUGGGGAUGAUAGUGUUGUGCGGUAGUUGCCACUAGUAGGUUGGGUGAAAUUAAGUGUAGACGCAGCAGUUGAUCUAGCUCGGGGUGCAGUGGGUUACGGCGCCGUUGUGCCAAAUCAUGAAGGUUUGGUGAUGGCUACGGGAACUUUUCAUGUGGUUUUUUCUGAUGAGGUUGAUAUCACAGAGGCAGAAUCCUUGCGCUUUGGUUUACAGUUCGCUAGUGCAGCUGGUUUAUUUUGUUAACAGUUGCAGUCAAAUUUGCUUCAAGUCAUAGAACUAUUUUAAAUCUUUUCGGAGGUUCUUUGAAUUAUUUCUGAGCUGAAGCAAUUGCAAUUACCAAAGCAAAUGCAUUAGCUAAAUGUUCUAUGUAGUUUUUUAUUCUUAUAUUUGGUGGGAAGAUUUUCCACCACAUUUAAAUUGCUAACUUGAGUGUAUUAUGAUUCUGAUUCUAAUAAAGUUUUUAUCUCACCAACCCAAAAAAAAAAUUGAAAUAAUAAAAAUAAUGAAUAACUUAUUUAAGCCCCCGUUUGGUAUAACUUUUCAAGUAGAGCUUAUUUGAGUAGAGUUUUUAUUAAAAAAAAUUUAGUUGUUUAAUUGUCAAUUAAAGUUUUUAUUAAAAAUUUAUUAAAUUACUUUAAUAGAAAAGUUUUUUAAAGUUAUGUCAUGAAAAAAAUAAAAUAAGAUUGUAAAAUAAGUAAAGGAGAUUUUAGAUAUUUUCUCUUAAAACUCGAAAUUUGAGCUUUUGUUAAUAGAGGUAAAAUAGAUUAUUUAAACUUCAAAAGUUCUAUUAGAAAAACAACCAAACAACACCAAAAAUUAUUAUAAGAGCUUAUGAGAUUAAAUAAGCACUUAUGGUCAUUGAAUAAGUCAUACCAAAUAAUCGCAUAGUACUUAUUUAUUAUUGAUUGUAAUUUUUUUUUUUAUAAGAGCUUAUGAGAUUAAAUAAGUGCUUAUGGCUCUUAAAUAAGCCAUACCAAACAGGCACUAAGUCAUACCAAAUAAUCACAUAGUACUUAUUUAUUAUUGAUUGUAAUUUUUUUAAAAAAAAUAAAUUUUAGUUUCUAAAAUUAGAUUUUAAUUUUUAUAUUCUAUUUUUGCAUUUAUAACGUACUUUUUUUUUUCCAUGUAUGUAUGUGAUAAAAGUACUCUGAAUUUAUUACGAUACAUUCCUCAUUCUUGAAAACGUACUAGUUCGCUAAAGCUUACAAAGGAAAGAAAUUGGUAUCAACCUUUUAGGAACCUUAAAAUUUUUAUAAACUCAUUAUCCUUUAUCUCUAAUUUGAGUUGAAAAACAAAUUAAAUCGUUUUUCUAUAUUCAUUUUGGUUUUGUAGUUGCACUUUAUUUUAUCCGUAGAACAUGGAUGAAGGAAUCAUAUCAUGAACUCCAAAUUUACCACAACAAUUGAUGCUCUUGUAACCCAUUCCCAAUUUAUUUGAUGCUCUUUUAACUCAAUUUAUUUGAUUAAAAAAAUUAUUAUUUUUAUUUAAAUUAUUUUUAAAAAAUUACGAUUAGUAAACAUUAUUAACUUUUUUAUUAUAGCUAGAUCUUUUUUACUUUCCAACAAUACCAAACAAAGCCUUCCACGGGCAUACAUUGUAGCUGAAACAUCACAAAAUCUUAUUCCAUAAUUUUUACGAGCAAGCUUUGUUUUAAAUGGCCGAGGAGCAACUGGGGUUCGUCCUGGUGCCCAUAGCUUUCGAAGUAACUCACCAAAUGCUACAGCUAGUUCACCCUAUAUAAGACCACUUCAACUCAGUAUUAUAACAAGACAACAAUCAUACACUCAUGAAAAAUCAUCAAGAGUGGAUGGACUUCUUAAAAUAAAUAGAUUUGAACAGAAAAAUAUUUUAUACAUAUCAACAAAUCAUUAAAGAUACAUAAAUUUAUGUCUGAAGAUUAUAUUUGGCUUUUUUUUUUUUCAUUUUAUGUAAAUUUGGGUGUUCCAAAAAUGAAACAAAAAUGUGUUUAGACAACAUAAGCUUAUGUAUAUAUUUUGGUAGUUACACAAUGAAACUCACAGUACUCCUAGUGAUAAAGUUUACUAACACCUAAUAACUUUUUUGUGAAGUUGAUUAUUUUAUAAGCACACGAAAUCUCUGUCCCUUAGCGUCUCUCCUAGAUAGUUGUGUGGAUGAGUUUUGAUGACUACGGUGGCGUUUGUUUUUUUAUCUGAAAUCUGAAUAGACCUGAAUUAGUCUGAAUUCUGAAUAGAUCUGAAUGUCUGAAUCUGAAUAAUAUGUUUGUUUUUUCGUCUGAAUCUCAAAAAAUAAGUAUUAAGUUGUUUGUUUUUUUCAACUAAAAAAGCUGAAAAUAUGUACUUUUACAUUUGUAUCCUUAUUAAAUUUGAAUGUCAAAUAAAUAAUAUAUUAAAUACCACAAUAUUUUAACAUUUAUAAGUAAAACUAUAUUUAAGUGAAUACAUAAUUAUUUUGGAAUUUUAAUAUAUAAAAUAUCAUAAAUUUCAAAUUUUAUCGUAUAUAAUAUAAGAAAGAAAAAACAGAGAUAUUUUUAUGUGGGGUAAAUGUCUAUGGGUGAGUUUUGGGAUAGACAUGAAAAAUAAAUUAUAAAACAUGGAUAUUUUUGACAUUAGUAAGUAAUUGACUUAAUUUAAAUUUUUUCAUUAAGUAAAAAGCCAAAAAAAUUGCCUUAUUUCAUUAAGUCAAAAUUAUCUAAAAAGUCUCAUUAAGUUAUAAAAACAAACACCUCUAAUUAACUUAAUUAAUUAAGUUAAGUCACUUUAAGUCAUUAAGUUAAAAAACAAACGCCACCUACAUUUUGUUCUUCUACUUUGAUAAAAAUGAUUCCGUCUUCUUCUCGUCCAACUUAGUUAAUCUAACAAAUUACUAAAGAGGAUGCAACUUUGACACUGAAUUUCAAUACCAAACAUAUAUUCUCUCUUCAACAGAAUCAUUAAGGCAUUUCAAACGCUUGGCAAGCAAGGCUAGCUUGUGCUAACAAAGAUACAUUUUGGAAUAGCUUCAAGAUAUUAAUAUUCUGUUACAUGAAUUAAAUUUGGUGUUAUGUUGAUGAUUGAGAAUAGAAGGAACUCGCGCCGAUUUGUAAUGUAUUCACGAAAUGUUGCUUGCACGUCUCAAUAAAUCCAUUUUUUAAAAAAAUAUAUAUAUAUGAAUUGAUUUAUAGUUGGUGCAACAGGUUAUGCAGUCAAUGAAUACAUAUGUUAUUCACGUUCGCAAGCAUUAGAUUAACUUUGUUAAUGACUCUGGAAUGUAUUAAGAAAUCUAAAAUUGUUUGAUGAUAUACGUUUAUCUAAAAGGAAUUAAGGAAAGGGUCAAGUUUGGCGGUUGAAUAGCUCGGGAUCAACGGCCAUGUCAAAGUUAAUUAAUAAACCCAAGCAUAUUCUGCUGAUCAUAAUUAAUGGAAGGGAUCGAUUGGCUAUCACACUACUCCGCAGUUGACAUUGAAGUUUGUCAUUGAAGUAUGUCUUCUUCAAACAUUCCCGCGGAAGGUUGCGUGUCAAUAUUUGACCACUAUGAAAUUACCGCGUAUUCAUUGACUACUUCACAUCUCAUUAUUGAAUGUUGUAGGAUGGUUGCAUAGGAUGAGUAGAGUAUUUUCCGGAGGUCAUAAUUUAGUUACAUGUGUCUAUUUUGGGGGUCAUAAUUUAGAUAUUUUAUUUCUUUUAUGAUUGUUUUGCCCUUUGAAGUUGUUUUCUUAUUUUUCCUGUUACUUCCAAAAUUUUAUUUUUAUUUUUUUUUAGAUGUCGGAUUUAGGCGUUGUUUGUUUUGUUGUCCUUAUUUAGAUUAUAAGAAUUUUAUUAUAAAAUAAUAUUUUAGAUUUACCUAUUUUAGUAAAUUCGCGAUAUUUAGAGUUAUUAUCAAAGGGCCCCAAAACCCCUAAUUUUGUCCAUUCACACUUUUGCAAUAAAAUUUUCAUUAUUUAGAAACCUAGUUUCUUUUUCAAUCCAACUUGUAUGCAUCAUCAACUUAAGUUUUAAAUUGCUUUUGAUUCAUCUAAAGAAGUUAAAAUUUCCCAAAAUCUUCUGUCUCAUAACUUUUAUGGGCCAAAAAAAUCAAAUUAGAAAUUCGAUCACAUUCCCCACCUUGUUGAUUAUAAAAGGAUAGAGAUUAUAAAAUUAAUUUAAAUCUUGCUCACUCUCUACUUCUCAUAAAAAUAAAAUAUAAAAACUACAAAAAUUAAUUGAUAAAAAAUUAUUUUUUUCCCCUUGGCAUAAAAAGGUUGCAUAUUGCUCAGAUAACUAUUAGUUUGAACGCACAAAGAUUCAAGGGUGGAGAUUUUUUUACUUUCCAAUCCAAUGGACAGAACCCUCUAUUGUAGAAAUUUCCAUUUUCUCAUAGCAUACCGAUGAACUGACAGUGGAGAUCCUAGAAACUAAUAAGCAAGCAAGAGAAGACAAACAGAAAAGUGAAAAAAAAAAAAAAAAUCUCCUUUGAUCAUGCAUGUUAUUUGAUCAUGGCCAUUCUUAUAAUAUAAUUACAACAAAAUAAUUCUAAUAUGAAUACGAGUAAAAAGCUUUACGAGCCUGAUCACUGUAUCGAGGACAAGAAUAUUGACUUCUCGAGUGAAAGUCACACGCCAUCUAGGCACUCUUAAGGUACAUUUAAGAUUUAGGUUGGUAAAUUGUAACUUAAAAGUUGCAACACUAAAGUAUUUGGUAAACACUAACUGCUAUAACUUGUAAGCUAUGUUGAUAUGAUUUUUCACUUGUAUAAUAAAAAUUAUUAUAUCUUUAAUAAUUUUGUCAAAAUUAUUAUGUAAAAUUUAUAUUUACUAUAUAUUAUUAAGUUUUGUUUGAUAGUUAUAGUUGUUUUCUACAGCAGCAGUAGCUUAAAAGGUACAACACAUCAAUCCUAAAUGAACCUUAGCAUCAUAGUUGUGCAGCUGUAGCUUCGGUUAUAGUACUUGUGUUUGGUUUGAAGAAAUGAAAGAAAAUAAGAUGAGAGAAAAGGAGGAGAGGGUAAAUAAAUAAGGAGAAAAAAAAGAUGAAUUUUGUGUCAAAAUAAACAAUAAAAUUGAGAUUGAUUUUUUUUCUAACCUCAUUUCCUCUUGAGCAUAUAUGUUGGACUUAUAAAUUUAUGUUUGGAUGUAAAUUGUUUGAUAAAUUCCUAUUGUUGUGGUUUGGAAAUUAGGUUAAUUUGAUUUAACAUUUAUAUAAUAAAUCACUUACAGUAUCUUUAUUAUAUUUUUAUCGAAACUUUUAUUUAAAAGUUAUAUUUAUUAUAUACUAAUAACUUUUAUUUCAUGAUGAUAGAUGCAGCACUUCAAAACCAAAAUAAGACCAUAUAUUUUUAUAACUUCUCUUAUCAGAAUAUGAAUGUUGCUUGCACGCAUUAACAAUUCCACUAGUUGCCGGUUCAUAAUUAUCACGUCAACUCUUAAAAAAAGGGCGCACUGCCGGUUCAUAAUUAUCUGCACAAAGUACAUUAUUCUAGCAUUAAAUUUUAAAUAUCUUUCAGUGCCUUUAAAAAUUAAACAUUCAAACUACGUAGUUAUAUUGUCAGAAAGCCAAAACAAUGAGACGUUCUUUUUGGUUCAUUAUCUUUCCCGGUUGCAAAGGCCAGGUUACGUAACAAUUUAAAUAAUCUGUACGCGCUAUCCGAAUUCAGAAAGUCAACAAACCUCAUCGAUCUGCCAAUUCUUUGGCAUUAAUAUUUUACUUAAUUCAAAGUAAUGUUAAUCACGCUUUCAGGCUCCAAGGAUUAAUAUAAAUAGAUCCAUCAUCUUCCUUUAAAUCAACAACUAAAGACUACUUGCAGCCAUUAAUUGUGUAAAUUUAGAUUUUAAUCACAACCAUGAUUUCUUCUUCAUCAACGUCACUCAUUGGGCUGCUAUGCUGCCUGAUAGUGUUAUUGAUUCUCCCUUUCCCUUCCCAUGCAAGUGACCCUGAUCCUUUACAAGACAUCUGUGUUGCGGAUUUGAAUGCUUCCGGCUCUAUUAAUGGUUUCCCCUGCAAACCUGAGUCAGAAGUAACUUCUGAUGAUUUCUUCACGGAUUUUUCCAAAGAAGCAGCUACUUUUGAUGUCUUUAAACGUGGAGCUACACUCGGUGAUGUUUUUGGCUUUCCAGUGGUCAAUACUCAAGGAGUUUCACUCUUCCGAAUUGACCUGCAUGUAGGUGGAAUAAACCCGCCUCAUACACAUCCUCGUGGAACUGAGGCUGGUAUUGUUACUCGAGGAAAGGUGCUUGUUGGAUUAGUAACAACUAAUAAUACCUUUUUUCUCAAAGGUUUUGACUCCCGGGAUGGUGUUCUUAAUUCCCAGAGCGCUGAUUCACUUCCAGCUGAAUGUUGGAAAGGGGCCGGCCACCUUUAUACCUAUUUUCAAUACUCAAAAUCCUGGCGUUUCGGACUCACUCACUACUCUUUUUGAUACAACACCCCCAAUUCCCAAUAAAGUGUUGACGAAAUCUUUCCGAGUCAGUAAUGAUGUGAUCAACACCAUCAGAGCGGCCCGGGCAUCAAACUAGUAAUCGAUCCGGCUAGGUUAACAUUCUCGACACCUGAUGAUACCCAUUAUAAUGUCUCAGAACUAAUGAAUAAGAUUUAUUUUAUGUAAUAAUUGUUGAAUAAAGAAAAGAUGGUGGCGAUUUGCAUGCUAAAUGUACCUCGAAUUCCAUAUUAUGAUAAAGUUUUUUUUUUCCCCCUAAAUUUCUUUUUGUUCAAAUCAUAUGUUGAAUCAUGAACGUGUAAGUUAGUAUUAGGAUAAUUUAAUUGAACUAAAUAAAAUACAUGUUACUCUUGACACCAUCUAGCACAAUUAUUCAAAAUCCUAUUUGUUUUCAACCAAAAAACUUUUCUCCUCAACAUAACCCAUCUAGUAUAGUUUUCUGGUCCAGAAUCUUAAAGUGCAGGAAAAGUCCGGAAUAACUUUAAAACUGCAGGGUUUUAAAGGCUUACAACUUGAAACACUUAAACCGCACAGUUUAUCCGUUUUUCCGGACAUUCUCGCACUUUAAAAUUCUAAAUUGGAACAUAAAUAAAUGUUUCAAUUCAGGAUCUUAAAGUGCGGGAAAAACCACAUGGUUUUAAAGGCUUAAAAUUGUAGGCCUUUAAAACUAUGCGGUUUUAAAACUUUCCCGCACUUUAAAAUUAUGAACUAGAAAACUACUAUAUCUAUAUAAUAUCAUAUAUCAUAUAAUAUAAUAUCAUAUCAUAUAAAUAUUAAUAGGAAAAUUAUUUGGGAGGCAGCAAGAUGCAGAAUUACAUGUAACCACUAAUGAUUAAAUCCAAAUUACCUCUUAUUUGUAACUUCUAUCAAUAAACCACCUUUUGUUGAAUUUGAAUAAAAGAUGUUAAAAAAUCUUUAUUAAAAUAUCCAUUUUCCCUUGAUAUUGUUUAAAAAUGUUAAAAAAAAACAUUAUUACCCAUUGAAGCAAGUUUGCAACUGCAAAAAUUAAAAACAGCAGUUGCUUAUGCCAAAAAAUAAAAAAUCAGAAAAGAAAAGGCAUGCUCCCGGUUAGGUAGAGAUUUUUGUUGUGACAAUUCUUUAUUAAAUGAUUAACUCAAAACUUAUUGGCUCUUGUCAUACAAUUAUUCUACUAGUUUCAGCAUACGAGAAGCAUUAGAUCUUAUUGCUUCUCUAUUAAUUAAUACUUGGUGCGUCAGGUAAUGGGAUGAAAGAAAUUAAAUUUUUUUUUUUGGCUGAAGCUUCCAAUUAUCGGAGAUGGCUCAUGGCUGCUAGCCGAACAAUAACCUUCAGCUCUAGGAAUGAGUUGGAACCAUCCGUAAGACACACAAGAUGAGAUACGUUGCCAAAACCCAUAGUUUCCUGAAGAUAGCCUUCAAUUAAUGGAUUGAAUAAUAAUCUAUCAUCAUGAAUUUUAAUAACUCUGGUGAUAAAAUCUCAGUAAGCUACUAGCUAGCUGAAAAUGGGUUCAAAAUUCCACGACCUUGAAAUUACAAGGUACUGAAACCUCAUUGAAGAUUUCAGAGUUUGUUGUAAACUGUACUUUCAAUGCAAAGAUCAGGGCAUUGGAAGGCAAGUGUUUCUAAUCUAUCCUAUUAUUGUGGACAGGGUCUACUUCUAGCGUAAGAAACGGUCUCCCUAGAACUGGGAUAGAGUCUCAUAAGUAUGUGUACCUUAAUUUAAAUAUAUAUAUAUAUAUAUAUUUUACGGAUGUAAGUCUAGAGAAAUAAGAAUAGACGACUCUUCAAUUAACGAAAUUAAAAGAUUUUGUCAUUUAGAUUUCAUGGACCAAAAAUCAAAUCAAAAUUUGAGAAUAUUAUGCAGCUUAUUGAUUUCUCACUCGGCUGUAAUGCUAGGACUGAAUGAGGAAUCUUAUUUAUCCAGUCAUAAAUGUUCCGUGAGAAUUGAUGAAUUGGAUAAUUAAUCAUCAUUAACAAACUAGUUCCCUCAUCCCUGAGAAUCUAUGGAUUGGAUAAUUAAUCGUCAUCAACAAGCUGGCUACUAGGUAAAGGUUUACGGAUUCAUUUUUCGUUGACUUUGAAAUCACUAAGUAUAUAAUAGGAGAAUAGACUACUUCAACUCUUUUUAAUAUGUUGAUUUGUUUGUUUCAAAUAUCAACUCCAAGAAAUUACUUAAACAAGAGCCAUAUCAAAUUAAAAGCAGCUUAGAUCUUUGUUAACACACGCUUUACAAAGCCAAAAAAGCCAACAAUUAAAUAAUCUCAUUAUUCUGAUUCUGAUCCUACAAUUUGCUAUUAAAAACUUUUUUUUCAAUCAAACUAUAUGUUGAAUGUAUUUAGUAUUAUGAACAAUUUAAUUGAAAAAUCUAGCACGCUGCUUCAAUAUCAUAUUGCAUCUUAGUCUAAAAAUUUUCGUCCUCAAUAUCAUAUCUGAUGCAUUAUUUUUAUUAAAAAAAAUGAAAAAAAAAAAACCCAUACAAGUUUUAAUAAAAAUAAGAAAAUUAUCUGGGAACCAGUAAAAUGUAGAAAGUACAUGUAACCACCAAUGAUUUUUGACCGUAGCUCUCAACAACCUAUAGUUUGCAACUUGUAUAAGUCAACCACUGUUCUGAGAAUUCGGUUAACAUCUGUCAAUAAUAUUUUGUUAAAAGAUCAAUUUGCCUUUGAUAUUGUUUAAAUAUGUUGAAAAACAGUUUAAUUUAUCCAUUGAAGCAAGCUUCCAAAUUCGAAAAUUGAAAACAGUAGAUGUUUUUGAAGGCGAGAAAGAAAAAAAGAAAAGAAAAGGAAACCAGUUAACUAGGACAAAAAGAAAUAGAACAAGCUUGCGCUCGGUUAGCUAGAGAAUCUGUCAAGACGACAAUUCUAUAUUAAAUGAGUAAAUCAAACUUAUUGGCUAUUAUAACUAAACUAAACUAUUCUACUAGUUUUAGAAUAUAUGUGACAGCAUCAGUUCUUAUUGUUCCCUGUCAAUGAUUUCGGUUAACUUUAACAAUUGCAAAUUGCUGCCUUCAAUGCAAAGAUUCGGUUGGAGGUCAAGUAUGUUUAAUCUAUCGUAUUAAUUUUAAUAGUUUGAUGCAUGAAAUCAUGGAGGCGUUUGUUUACCUCUAACCUUAAUUUUGAUGCUCGGAGGAAACUACUUUGGAAGCCUGAUACAACCUUCCACAUUCAGCUGGAUCAACCGGAUUAUUUACGAGAAGGGCAGCCCAUCGAUGAGUCUAAUUGUGUGCAGCCCAUGAAGGAAGCCUCAUCACAAGUUGUAGUAGAAGUAGCUCGUGAGGAAGGGUAUACCAGCACAAGAGUGAGAAGACCCCUGGGUGGUUUAAAGAUUAUGUCGUAUAGUGAAAUUGAUAGAGCUUUAUAUUUUGCUGGUUUAUGUUGCUGUCAUAUUUUCUGUUACAAAGUUAUGCUGAACUGUAUUCUUUUAAAGGCCAACAGACAGAGGAGUAUAUGUAUAGCAUAACUAAUUCGUGCAAAAGGAAUGCAGAAUGAAUCAUUUCUUUUUAACUUUUCUCUAUUCUUCUCUCACUCUCCAUCUCUCUCCCCACUCUUGCUCAUCUUUGUGAAUUUCUUUUGGAGUCAGCCCUCACUCGAAGAGUGCCAAUUUAUCGAUACAACCUUGGUUGCAGAGAGGUGUAUCAGUGGUGCUUUCAUUGCUAUCGUUAUGACGGAUUCUGACCUUUUAAAGACGAUCCAAGAAUAGUUCCAGAGCCAAACAUUGUCCUCACAUCAAACGCUGCAACAGUAUAUGGCCACGGUGGAUUCUCGCCUUAAUGAUUUGCGUUCACAGAUCCAUGGGUCUUCCAAUCACUCGGGUCGGGUUCCUAAUCCACCACACCCAACCUCUUCUUCGACUGAGGUAAAUUCCAGUGGUAUUGAGCUGUCCCCUGUGCCCCGUUCUAUGAAGAUGGAGGUUCCUAAGUUUGAUGGAUCUGACCCAAACGGGUGGGUUUUUCGAAUUGAGGAAUUCUUUGAUUUCCACGGGACACCGGAAACUCUUCGUUUGCGAAUUGUUUCUUUUCAUAUGGAAGGACGGGCGUGAAAUAUAAGUGUGCAACCCAAGAGGGGGGGUGAAUUGGAAAUUUAAAAAUUAUCCUAGCAAAUCCACACAACAAGCAAUCUAAUGUCUUAAUAAAAAUUGAAAGCAAUAAGUUCAAUAAAGGCACAAUAAUUAAAAGAGUAAGGGAAGAGAAAAACGAACACAAUGAUUUUUACGUGGUUCGGCUAUCCCCGCCUACGUCCAUGCCUCCAAGCACACCGGGCUUGAGGAUUUCACUAUCCAAGCCUUUCCAAGGCUUCAACAAUUAUAAUUGACUUCGAGGUGUCAAUAAACCUUUACAACAAAGAGAUUAUCUCCCAAUCUCUUUACUCAAGUGUCUCACACACUCAAACUCUUACAAAUGAAAUGAAGAAAUGAAAGUUAUAAUCAAACUCACUCAAUGAGUAGAUAUUCAAAGAUGAAGAACAAUGAAUGAUUCAAUGUUUUGUGUUUUGCAAGUUGUAAGCUCAAGAUAUCAUGUGUGCCUUUUGUUUUUGCUUGUUGGAGAGCUUCAAAAUGAGUUGGAUUUGAGUUCUUAUAGCUUGAGCUCGAAAACUAGCCGUUACUCACAUUCUGGGCUAUCCGGUUUGCCGUUUUAUGGAAUCCGGUAAGCCGAAUUUAUGUUACCGUUUAGGCAAAAUUCAAAAUUUUGCCUAACCGGUUUGCCGGAUUCAGGAAUCCGGUAAGCCGUUUUCGUUUUGGUGCUUACUGCCCGUAUCCGGCUUGCCGUUUAUCAGUAUCCGGUAAGCCGCUUGCUACAGUAACUACUACAGUAAAAUAUUUCCCAAAAUUUACUGUUUGACCCCAAAACUUUAUAAAACUGUAGUAUAACCCAAAACGUUAUGAAACUUUUCAAAUAAGUCCAAUUUCAGAAUUUCUAAAUAAUUCUUCGUUAACCCCAAACUUUCUGAAAUUAUGACUUCGCCCAAACUUUGUGAAAUUAUAGAAUGGCCCAAAAAUAUUUAAAUAAUUUCAAAUAGGUCCAAAUUCGAAAUUUCAAGCACUACUUAUUUAUUUCAAAGUUUUCAAAAUUCUUUCAAUUAAACCAUAAACUUUGAAAAACAACCAAUUUCAUAAAAUCAUUUUUCCAUUAAAUAUGAAACAUUUAUAAUGUGAACAUAAUGAUUUAUUUAAAAAGAAUAAAAACAAUCAAUUUCAUAAAAUUAUUUUUCCAUUAAAUAUAAAACAUUUAUAAUAUGAAAAUAAUGAUUUAUUUAAAAAGAAUAUUAAAUAAUUUGAGCUUAAAAGAUUAAUCAUUCUUAAUCUUAUUUGUUAUCAUCAAAAUCAAUAUUAUGGAAACAUAUAUGUUAACAGAGCGGCAGCGUGGUAUCAAUGGAUGAAAAUGAACAGCUUGCUUACAACAUGGAAAGAAUUUUUGCAGAACCUUAAACAUCGUUUUGGUGCCUCCCUCUAUGACGAUCCUCAAGGAAAUUUGUCUAAGUUAUCCCAAACUACAACAGUGGCAGAAUUUCAGACCUCUUUUGAAGAUUUAAUGAAUCGCGUGACUGGAAUUUCAGAACCGCUUCUGAUAAGUUUUUUUAUCACGGGAUUGAAAUCCGAUAUUCGUCGUGAGUUACUUUUUGUUCGACCUUCUUCUCUAAUGGAAGCCUUUGCACUAGCUCGUGCCUAUAAAGCCUGUGCUGAAGAAGCCAAACAAGGACACCGUUUUUUGCCAAAAUGGAACACCAUGUCACCUACUCAUACCACAACAUUCCCGUUACCCAAAUUUCAGCCUAACACAUAUCUCAUUGCUUCAACCCAGCCUCACCAUUCCACUGGUAUGGCCCAAACCAUAUCUCACUCCCACAAUACUUCCCCACCCCCGAAACCAAACACAUUACCACCACUUCUACCCACGCCCAACUUACCGAUUCGCCGCCUUACUCCAGCAGAGCUACGUGACAAGCGUGAGAAUGGAUUGUGUUAUAACUGCGAUAAAAAAUAUAGUGCUAAUCAUCAUUGUCGCAGUAAGUUUUUGCUUCUCAUGGGUACUGAUGAUAAUGAACUUCCUUCUUGUGAACAAGAGUUGCCACCGGAUCCUGUCGAAUAGGUCAUAAUAGGGGAUAUUUCCAGUUUGAAUGCUUUGGCGGGUCAAAUCAAUCCCCGCUCACUCCGUUUAGUUGGCAAAGUUGGUUCUCACAGUUUUCAAGUAUUGAUCGAUAGCGGAAGUACCCACAACUUUAUCAAACCAGCAGUGGCAAAGCGUUUGGGCUUACCGAUACAGCCAACAGCAAAUUUCUGUGUUUAUAUUGGCAAUGGGGAUUUUCUAGUGUGCAAAUAUGUUUGCCCUCAAGUUGCUCUCACGAUGCAGGGAACAGUCUUCACUUUGGACCUCUUUGUUCUGCCCAUUGAGGGGCCUGAUGUGGUGUUGGGAAUACAAUGGCUGCAACUCUUGGGACGUGUCUCUCAUGAUUACUCUGCCCUCUCUAUGGAAUUUUGUUGGAAUGGGGCACCAGUGACUCUUCGCAGCGAACUAUCCACUACUCCCUCCCUAAUCACCUUUCAUCAGUUGCAAUCUCUAGUCCACAUUGCUGAUAUUUAUAGUUUGUGUGCUCUGCAACAGGUACCUGUACCCGGGGAGGAAUCGGAAAGCAAUCCCAAGAGUUCUUCCUUCGAAUUACCUCCACAUUUAACCACACCCUUUGUUGAUCUUCUACACACCUACCGCAACUUAUUUCUUCCACCUACUACCCUGCCACCACAUCGCACAAUUGAUCACAGAAUCCACCUCCUCCCCAACACCACUCCCAUAAAUGUGCGCACAUAUCGCUACCCCCAUUCCAAAAAAAUGAGAUGGAAAACUUGAUCCGUGAAAUGUUAGAACAAGGCAUCAUUAAACCAAGUCAAAGUCCAUUUUCGUCACCGGUCUUGUUGGUAAAAAAAAAAGAUGGGACCUAUCGUUUCUGUGUUGAUUAUAGGGCUUUGAAAGCCGCCACCAUUAAAGAUAAAUUCCCCAUUUCGACUAUCGACGAAUUAUUCGAUGAAUUAGGCGGGGCAGCAAUCUUUAGCAAGUUGGAUUUACGGGCUGGUUACCAUCAGAUUCGCGUGCACCACCGAGACAUUUAUAAAACGGCUUUUCGCACUCAUGAGGGCCAUUACGAGUUCCUCGUCAUGCCGUUUGGGUUAACAAACGCGCCUUCUAUCUUUUAAGCUACUAUGAACCAGAUUUUCGCUUCCUUUUUGCGUAAAUUUGUGAUUGUUUUUUUUUAUGACAUUUUGGUUUAUAGUGCUACAGCAGAGGAACAUUUGCGGCACCUUCAGCAAGUCUUGUGGUGCCUUCAUUUUCACCAAUUCUUUGUCAAGCUAUCCAAAUGCUUGUUUUGCCAAGACGCUAUCGAUUACCUGGGCCACAUUGUUUCAGUCUCUGGUGUGCGAGCCGAUCCUCAAAAAAUUGCAGUUAUGGUUCGUUGGCCAACUCCUCAGACUACUAAAAAACUUCGAGGUUUUUUGGGUUUGACAGGUUAUUACCGGCGGUUUAUCCGCGGAUAUGCAUCUUUAGCAACCCCACUUACUGAUUUGCUUUGUAAAGAUGCCUUCCAGUGGACACCAGCAGCAGCUGACGCAUUUGAAGCUCUUAAGAGAGUAAUGGUGGAAGCCUAUGUGUUACGGCUACCAGAUUUUGACUCCGACUUCAUUCUUGAGAUUGACGCCUCUAAUGUGGGUAUCGGGGCUAUGCUUAUGCAAUCGGGGCACCCCAUAUCUUAUUUCAGUAAGAAAUUAGGUCCUCGACUUCGGGCUUCUUCUACCUACAUCAAGGAAUUAACCGCUAUUGUUGAAGCGGUGCACAAAUGGCGACAAUACUUAUUGGGCAGAUUUUUUGUAAUUCGAACUGACCAUAAGAGCAUUAAGGAACUUCUCCAGCAGGUAGUUCAAACUCCGGAUCAGCAAGUCUACAUCAGAAAAUUACUAGGCUAUCACUUCCGCAUUGAGUAUAAAUCAGGUUGUACCAAUCUUGCAGCCGACGCCUUAUCACGAAUUCAUGACGAGGCUGGUGAGGUAACACCAACAGUGACUGCUUCUUGUUUUCCCCUCCUUAGUCACUCGUCGUUUGAGUUGUUAGCAACUCUAACAAUAGAUAAUUCCACACUUCUAGAAAUGAUUGAUCUUCAUCAGCAGUUUGCUGCGGGGUCUCUUUCACGGGAUUAUUCGCUGCAUAAUGGGGUCUUUUUUUAUCGCAAUCGUUACUAUAUGAGUCCAUCAUCAUCCUUGAAAGCAGUUCUAUUGGCUGAAUUCCACUCUACUACACUUGCAGGGCAUGUAGGCAUCAAACGCACGCUGGUCCGCUUGGCAUCUAAUUUUUUUUGGCCUAAAAUGCGUAUGGACGUUGAGCGAUUCGUGGCCGAAUGCCUUGUGUGCCAACAAACUAAAUAUUCUACUCAAGCACCAGCCGGUCCACUGCAGCCGCUUCCUAUCCCCACUUUAGUUUGGGACGAACUCACUAUGGAUUUCAUUACUGGCCUUCUAGUUUCCCGAGGUUUCACGGUGAUAUUAGUAGUGGUUGAUCGCCUUACGAAAUCAGCACACUUUGGAUCCCUGCUCACUCAAUUUACAGCAGUGAAGACUGCCGAAUUAUUCGUGGAUAUGGUAAUAAAGCUUCAUGGAUUUCCGACUUCUAUUAUUUCCGAUCGCGACCCUAUGUUCUUGAGCACUUUUUGGAAGAAGUUAUUUGAGUUAAGUGGCACUACCCUUCGACACAGUACAGCCUAUCACCCACAAACAGAUGGGUAAUCGGAGGUUGUCAAUCGCGGCUUUGAGCAAUAUCUUCGCGCUUUCACCCAAGACAAACCACACUCAUGGGUAUCUCUACUUGGGUGGGCUGAGUUUUCCUACAAUUCUACUUAUCACAGCAGCAUCAAAAUGUCUCAUUUUCAAGCUCUUUUUGGGCGACCACCUCCAGCAAUUCCUCCUUACUCGAAGGGCUCUACUUCAAUCCAAGCUCUUGAUAAAGCAUUAAGUGAACAGGAUGCCUUACUUCGUACCUUGAAAGAGAAUUUGCGUCAAGCUCAACAUGGCAUGAUUCAAAAGGCUAAUGCACAUAGACGCGAAGCUCAGUUUGCUGUUGGGGACCAGGUUCUAGUGAAGCUUCAGCCAUACCGCCAAAAUACAGUGGCAUCUCGUUCUUGUCAAAAGCUAGCUAAACGGUAUUAUGGCCCAUUUCCUGUACUCGCUCAAGUUGGCCCUGUAGCUUAUAAGCUUGCCUUGCCCAGUGGUUCCAAGAUUCAUCCAGUGUUUCACAUAUCACUUCUCAAACCCUUUCUUGGUUCUCAUACACCUGAUCACCAUUCCUUGCCAUCAACUAGUGUGGACAAUCAGCCAUUAUAUCUCCCUGCUGCAGUUUGCGCUAUUAGAACCGUGCUUAAACAAGGAACGAGAUGUCGCCAAAUUCUGGUUCAAUGGCAGGCCAGUUCGCCUGAAGAUUCUACUUGGGAAGAGUUCGACACCUUCUGUAAACUUUAUCCCGAUUUUCACCUUGAGGACAAGGUGGAUUUUGAAGCUGGAGGGGAUGAUACAACCUUCCACAUUCAGCUGGAUCAACCGGAUUAUUUACGAGAAGGGCAGCCCAUCGAUGAGUCUAAUUGUGUGCAGCCCAUGAAGGAAGCCUCGUCACAAGUUGAAGUAGAAGUAGCUCAUGAGGAAGGGUAUACCGGCACAAGAGUGAGAAGACCCCCUGGGUGGUUUAAAGACUAUGUCGUAUAGUGAAAUUGAUAGAGCUUUAUAUUUUGCUGGUUUAUGUUGCUGUCAUAUUUUCUGUUAUAAAGUUAUGCUGAGUUGUAUUCUUUUAAAGGCCAAAAGACAGAGGAGUAUAUGUAUAGCAUAGCUAAUUCGUGCAAAAGGAAUGCAGAAUGAAUAAUUUCUUUUUAACUUUUCUCUAUUCUUCUCUCACUCUCCAUCUCUCUCCCCACUCUUGCUCAUCUUUGUGAAUUUCUUUGGAGUCAGCCCUCACUCGAAGAGUGCCAAUUUAUCGAUACAGCCUUGGUUGCAGAGAGGUGUAUCAAAGCCUUAUACAAAUUUUUAGCGUCUAAGCAUGAUCUCAAAUUUAUUUGGAGUUCGGCGGCUUCUAUCCAACUAAAGAAGUUAAAAUUUCCCAAAAUCUUCUGUCUCAUAACUUUUAUGGGCCAAAAAAAUCAAAUUAGAAAUUCGAUCACAUUCCCCACCUUGUUGAUUAUAAAAGGAUAGAGAUUAUAAAAUUAAUUUAAAUCUUGCUCACUCUCUACUUCUCAUAAAAAUAAAAUAUAAAAACUACAAAAAUUAAUUGAUAAAAAAUUAUUUUUUUCCCCUUGGCAUAAAAAGGUUGCAUAUUGCUCAGAUAACUAUUAGUUUGAACGCACAAAGAUUCAAGGGUGGAGAUUUUUUUACUUUCCAAUCCAAUGGACAGAACCCUCUAUUGUAGAAAUUUCCAUUUUCUCAUAGCAUACCGAUGAACUGACAGUGGAGAUCCUAGAAACUAAUAAGCAAGCAAGAGAAGACAAACAGAAAAGUGAAAAAAAAAAAAAAAAUCUCCUUUGAUCAUGCAUGUUAUUUGAUCAUGGCCAUUCUUAUAAUAUAAUUACAACAAAAUAAUUCUAAUAUGAAUACGAGUAAAAAGCUUUACGAGCCUGAUCACUGUAUCGAGGACAAGAAUAUUGACUUCUCGAGUGAAAGUCACACGCCAUCUAGGCACUCUUAAGGUACAUUUAAGAUUUAGGUUGGUAAAUUGUAACUUAAAAGUUGCAACACUAAAGUAUUUGGUAAACACUAACUGCUAUAACUUGUAAGCUAUGUUGAUAUGAUUUUUCACUUGUAUAAUAAAAAUUAUUAUAUCUUUAAUAAUUUUGUCAAAAUUAUUAUGUAAAAUUUAUAUUUACUAUAUAUUAUUAAGUUUUGUUUGAUAGUUAUAGUUGUUUUCUACAGCAGCAGUAGCUUAAAAGGUACAACACAUCAAUCCUAAAUGAACCUUAGCAUCAUAGUUGUGCAGCUGUAGCUUCGGUUAUAGUACUUGUGUUUGGUUUGAAGAAAUGAAAGAAAAUAAGAUGAGAGAAAAGGAGGAGAGGGUAAAUAAAUAAGGAGAAAAAAAGAUGAAUUUUGUGUCAAAAUAAACAAUAAAAUUGAGAUUGAUUUUUUUUUUUAACCUCAUUUCCUCUUGAGCAUAUAUGUUGGACUUAUAAAUUUAUGUUUGGAUGUAAAUUGUUUGAUAAAUUCCUAUUGUUGUGGUUUGGAAAUUAGGUUAAUUUGAUUUAACAUUUAUAUAAUAAAUCACUUACAGUAUCUUUAUUAUAUUUUUAUCGAAACUUUUAUUUAAAAGUUAUAUUUAUUAUAUACUAAUAACUUUUAUUUCAUGAUGAUAGAUGCAACACUUCAAAACCAAAAUAAGACCAUAUAUUUUUAUAACUUCUCUUAUCAGAAUAUGAAUGUUGCUUGCACGCAUUAACAAUUCCACUAGUUGCCGGUUCAUAAUUAUCACGUCAACUCUUAAAAAAAGGGCGCACUGCCGGUUCAUAAUUAUCUGCACAAAGUACAUUAUUCUAGCAUUAAAUUUUAAAUAUCUUUCAGUGCCUUUAAAAAUUAAACAUUCAAACUACGUAGUUAUAUUGUCAGAAAGCCAAAACAAUGAGACGUUCUUUUUGGUUCAUUAUCUUUCCCGGUUGCAAAGGCCAGGUUACGUAACAAUUUAAAUAAUCUGUACGCGCUAUCCGAAUUCAGAAAGUCAACAAACCUCAUCGAUUUGCCAAUUCUUUGGCAUUAAUAUUUUACUUAAUUCAAAGUAAUGUUAAUCACGCUUUCAGGCUCCAAGGAUUAGAGGAGAAAAAAAAGAUGAAUUUUGUGUCAAAAUAAACAAUAAAAUUGAGAUUGAUUUUUUUUCUAACCUCAUUUCCUCUUGAGCAUAUAUGUUGGACUUAUAAAUUUAUGUUUGGAUGUAAAUUGUUUGAUAAAUUCCUAUUGUUGUGGUUUGGAAAUUAGGUUAAUUUGAUUUAACAUUUAUAUAAUAAAUCACUUACAGUAUCUUUAUUAUAUUUUUAUCGAAACUUUUAUUUAAAAGUUAUAUUUAUUAUAUACUAAUAACUUUUAUUUCAUGAUGAUAGAUGCAGCACUUCAAAACCAAAAUAAGACCAUAUAUUUUUAUAACUUCUCUUAUCAGAAUAUGAAUGUUGCUUGCACGCAUUAACAAUUCCACUAGUUGCCGGUUCAUAAUUAUCACGUCAACUCUUAAAAAAAGGGCGCACUGCCGGUUCAUAAUUAUCUGCACAAAGUACAUUAUUCUAGCAUUAAAUUUUAAAUAUCUUUCAGUGCCUUUAAAAAUUAAACAUUCAAACUACGUAGUUAUAUUGUCAGAAAGCCAAAACAAUGAGACGUUCUUUUUGGUUCAUUAUCUUUCCCGGUUGCAAAGGCCAGGUUACGUAACAAUUUAAAUAAUCUGUACGCGCUAUCCGAAUUCAGAAAGUCAACAAACCUCAUCGAUCUGCCAAUUCUUUGGCAUUAAUAUUUUACUUAAUUCAAAGUAAUGUUAAUCACGCUUUCAGGCUCCAAGGAUUAAUAUAAAUAGAUCCAUCAUCUUCCUUUAAAUCAACAACUAAAGACUACUUGCAGCCAUUAAUUGUGUAAAUUUAGAUUUUAAUCACAACCAUGAUUUCUUCUUCAUCAACGUCACUCAUUGGGCUGCUAUGCUGCCUGAUAGUGUUAUUGAUUCUCCCUUUCCCUUCCCAUGCAAGUGACCCUGAUCCUUUACAAGACAUCUGUGUUGCGGAUUUGAAUGCUUCCGGCUCUAUUAAUGGUUUCCCCUGCAAACCUGAGUCAGAAGUAACUUCUGAUGAUUUCUUCACGGAUUUUUCCAAAGAAGCAGCUACUUUUGAUGUCUUUAAACGUGGAGCUACACUCGGUGAUGUUUUUGGCUUUCCAGUGGUCAAUACUCAAGGAGUUUCACUCUUCCGAAUUGACUUGGGUGUCGGUGGAAUAAACCCGCCUCAUACACACCCUCGUGGAACCGAGGCUGGUAUUGUUACUAGAGGAAAGGUGCUCGUAGGUUUAGUAACAACUAAUAAUACCUUUUUCUCAAAGGUUUUGACUCCCGGGAUGGUAUUCUUAAUUCCUAGAGCAAUGAUUCACUUCCAACUAAAUGUUGGAAAAGGGCCGGCCACAUUUAUACCUAUUUUCAAUACUCAAAAUCCUGGCGUUUCGGACUCACUCACUACUCUUUUUGACACAACACCUCCAAUUCCCGAUGAAGUGUUAACCAAAUCUUUCCGAGUAAGUGAUGAAGUGAUUAAUGUGAUCAGAGCAG
rnacentral:lncRNA from 1 species